AUGGGCCGGGGCGGCCGGGGGCAGGGAGGUGGGGUCCCUGCUCCUGAGAGCGGGGAGGAAUGUGGCCCCAGCAGCCAAGCUCUGCGAGCGCCGGACGGAGAUGCCGGCAGCCCGCUGGGGGAGGGGGCGCCUCUGCUUUUCCCUCUGGUCUCGGCCCGGGGUCACAGCCCCUGCCCCGUCCUGGAGCUCAGGGCAGAAACCUGGGCAGCCCACGAGGGGACAGGUGGCUGGGCCAGGGGAAGCAGGUGCCCACAGCGCACCGUGGGGAGCCGACACCCAGCCCGGGCUCCUGGGCCCGCCGGGGUGGGGCCGGUGCCACUGCCCCCAGGUCUCGCCGCCUCCCCGGCCUCGGGAUCCCCAGCUGCUCCCAGCACUGACCACCCUGCCCCAGCCCGCGGGGCCCCGGCCGGUCCCAAGGUCACAGCGGCAGGGCGCUCGCCGCCACCCAGAAGACGGUCCUGCCGCCAGCGCAUAAACAAGCGCCGCCGCGGUGCCCCCACCCCACCCCGACCGCCCGAGGGGCCGACCCGGUGCCCGGUGCCUGGUGCUCGGUGUCUGUGCCCGGUGCCUGUGCCCGGUGCCCGGUGCGGGGAGCCGCUGGCCGAAGCCGGAGCAAGCAGCGCAGCGUCGCCAGGUGCCCGCAGCCUCCCUGGGCCCGGCCGCGGGGACAGAGGAAGCCCCGGGAGCGCUGGGGGCGGAGGCGGAGCCCGAGGCCAAGCGUCCUUACCCGGAGCCGAGGUCUCAGCCAGAGGGACAGGCGGCGCGGCGCCGGCGGUUUUAUCUCUCCAGGAGGGGGUCCACCUAUUGACGGCGCGGGCGCAAUGCACUGCGCCCCUGCAGUACGGCAAUGCGGUACCGGCGGGGGCGGGGCGGGCGGGGCGGCCGGAGCCGAGGGGUGCGGGAUGCGGGCGACAGGAUGCGGCGAGGCAGCGAGCGCCCGGCGCGGCGCCAGACCCGGAGGGAGUGCAGGCAGGGAGAGAAAGCGGGUCGGGGCUCGCGGGGGGGCGGGGACCGGCCGAGCCGAGCGAGGGGGGCCGGGGGAGAGCAGCGCAAGAGAUGGAGGCCGAGCGGCGCCAGGCUCAGGCCCUCCUGGACGCAGAAAGGGUGGGGACGGCCAGGCCAAAGGCAGUGAAACCUGAAAGGGGGUCCUUGGGGACAGGAAACCGAGGUGGGGACGUGGUAGGAGCAGGUCAGGCCUGCGCCAGGAGUGGGGCUGGGCCCGGGCUCUGGGCCGUGGGCCUGGGGGGCUCGCCCCCGCCCUCCAUGCGCUUGGUGCCUGGUGAGCAAAUGAAGCUCCCUUGUGCCUCCCAGCGAGGCCCCGGAGCCCUGGGGCCUUCCUCCUUUGGGACCCUGCAAUUGCUUGUUUUCAGGGCCCCCAUCCCCGUGCGUCGGCCACAUGGGUCACCCUGGCAUGCCCCCAGCCCGGCCCCACGGCACAGCCGGAGAACGGUGUCUUCAGGGUCCCCUCAGCCGGCCGAGUGGCUCGAGGCUCUGUGGGAGAUCCACCUCAACCUCCCUCCCCUGCUGUCCACCCUGGGCCUCUGUCCACGCAAGUCUGUUCCCAGAGCCCACCGACACCCUCCAGGCUGCCCUGGUGCGCGCGAGCGGGGAGGGGUCCCGGGCAGGCAGAGUCCAGGCUCUGGCCUCACUCCUGGCCCCCGUGUGACCAGAGUGCGAAGCCACGGAUGGGCCAGUUCUGUAGAAAGUGUGUUGGGGGGGGUCUUGGAGGGUCCAGGGCAGCCCAGGGCAAUGGCCAACGUGGGUUCUAAGGAGGGAACCAGGCAGGCCCGUGCUGUGUGA
rnacentral:lncRNA from 1 species